GGAUGCGAUCAUACCAGCACUAAAGCACCGGAUCCCAUCAGAACUUCGAAGUUAAGCGUUCUUGGGCGAGAGUAGUACUAGGAUGGGUGACCUCCUGGGAAGUCCUCGUGUUGCAUUCC
rnacentral:rRNA from 16 species